rnacentral:lncRNA from 1 species
AAACAAACGACAUUCAAAGUAAAAAAAUCCCCUUUAAAGUCGCUAGACUCAACCAUUUUCAAGCAACUAAGUCACCUACCAAAUCACAUUCAAAACAAAAAAUCCUCUUAAAGUUCCUACACUUCACCAUUUUCAAGUGACUACGUAUCAAAACAAAACCACAUUCAAAACCAAAAAAUCUCCUUUAAAAUUCCUACAUUUAACCAUAUUCAAGUGACUAAGUCACCAAACAAAC